rnacentral:rRNA from 1 species
GAUGAACGCUAGCUACAGGCUUAACACAUGCAAGUCGAGGGGUAACGAGAGGAAAGCUUGCUUUCCUUGUCGACGACCGGCGCACGGGUGAGUAACGCGUAUCCAACCUGCCCCCAACUAGGGAAUAACCUUGCGAAAGUAAGACUAAUACCCUAUAAUUUCCUCAGAUGUCAUCUGACGAGGAAUAAAGAUUUAUCGGUUGUGGAUGGGGAUGCGUCUGAUUAGUUUGUUGGCGGGGUAACGGCCCACCAAGGCAACGAUCAGUAGGGGUUCUGAGAGGAAGGUACCCCAUAUUGGAACUGAGACACGGUCCAAACUCCUACGGGAGGCAGCAGUGAGGAAUAUUGGUCAAUGGGCGGAAGCCUGAACCAGCCAAGUAGCGUGCAGGAUGACGGCCCUAUGGGUUGUAAACUGCUUUUAUACAGGAAUAAAGUUAGCCACGUGUGGUUAUUUGUAGGUACUGUAUGAAUAAGGACCGGCUAAUUCCGUGCCAGCAGCCGCGGUAA